rnacentral:rRNA from 1 species
GAUGAACGCUGGCGGCGUGCCUAAUACAUGCAAGUCGAGCGAACGGACGAGAAGCUUGCUUCUCUGAUGUUAGCGGCGGACGGGUGAGUAACACGUGGAUAACCUACCUAUAAGACUGGGAUCACUUCGGGAAACCGGAGCUAAUACCGGAUAAUAUUUUGAACCGCAUGGUUCAAAAGUGAAAGACGGUCUUGCUGUCACUUAUAGAUGGAUCCGCGCUGCAUUAGCUAGUUGGUAAGGUAACGGCUUACCAAGGCAACGAUGCAUAGCCGACCUGAGAGGGGGAUCGGCCACACUGGAACUGAGACACGGUCCAGACUCCUACGGGAGGCAGCAGUAGGGAAUCGUCCGCAAUGGGCGAAAGCCUGACGGAGCAACCCCGCGUGAGUGAUGACGGUCUUCGGAUCGUAAAACUCUGUUAUGAGGGAAGAACAUAUGUGUAAGUAACUGUGCACAUCUUGACGGUACCUAAUCAGAAAGCCACGGCUAACUACGUG